rnacentral:rRNA from 1 species
CGCAUCUGUGCAUGCAGCAUAUCAAUAAGCGGAGGAAAAGAAACUAACAAGGAUUCCCCUAGUAACGGCGAGUGAAGCGGGAAGAGCUCAAAUUUGAAAUCUUAAAGGGUUUCCCUUUACGAAUUGUAGUUUAAAGAAGUGUUUUCUGUUGAGGUUUUGGUAAAAGUUCUUUGGAAUAGGACAUCAUAGAGGGUGAGAAUCCCGUAUUUGACCUUUACUUUCAACUUUGUGAUACACUUUCAAAGAGUCGGAUUGUUUGGGAAUGCAGUCCAAAAUGGGUGGUAAAUUUCAUUCUAAAGCUAAAUAUUGGCGAGAGACCGAUAGCGAACAAGUACCGUGAGGGAAAGAUGAAAAGAACUUUGAAAAGAGAGUUAAACAGUACGUGAAAUUGUCAAAAGGGAAGCGUUUGACACCAGUGUUGUUUUUCUGAAAAUCAAUUAAAGAACUGUUUAUGCUAAGCUGUUUAGACUUUAUCAGCUAUCUGUUUAGUUUUGAGCUUUUCUUUAAUGCACUUUUCAGUUAGCAAGUCAACAUCAAUUUCUUUUGCUGUAAAAAAGCUUGAGGAAGGUGGCUUGAGAUUCGUCUUAAGUGUUUAUAGCCUCUUGCCUAUGCAGUCGGAGAGAUUGAGGUCUGCAGCGUAGAUCCUUCGGGGCUAAAUGCAUUUGUGCUAAGUUAUAGCAUUUUAUAGACAACUUGUUGACUAUGAUUUGUCUUGUAGCUUACUCGCUUAUGUUAUUUUACCUACGCUUAGGAUGUUGACAGCAGUAUAGACUGU